rnacentral:rRNA from 1 species
CCUACGGGAGGCAGCAGUGGGGAAUAUUGGACAAUGGGGGGAACCCUGAUCCAGCCAUGCCGCGUGUGUGAAGAAGGCCUUAUGGUUGUAAAGCACUUUAAGCGAGGAGGAGGCUCUCUUGGUUAAUACCCAAGAAGAGUGGACGUUACUCGCAGAAUAAGCACCAGCUAACUCUGUGCCAGCAGCCGCGGUAAUACAGAGGGUGCGAGCGUUAAUCGGAUUUACUGGGCGUAAAGCGUGCGUAGGCGGCUUUUUAAGUCGGAUGUGAAAUCCCCGAGCUUAACUUGGGAAUUGCAUUCGAUACUGGGAAGCUAGAGUAUGGGAGAGGAUGGUAGAAUUCCAGGUGUAGCGGUGAAAUGCGUAGAGAUCUGGAGGAAUACCGAUGGCGAAGGCAGCCAUCUGGCCUAAUACUGACGCUGAGGUACGAAAGCAUGGGGANCAAACAGGAUUAGAUACCCUGGUAGUCCAUGCCGUAAACGAUGUCUACUAGCCGUUGGGGCCUUUGAGGCUUUAGUGGCGCAGCUAACGCGAUAAGUAGACCGCCUGGGGAGUACGGUCGCAAGCUAAAACUCAAAUGAAAUUGACCGGNUUGAGACGNGCGAGGACGACACGAGGGAGAGG